rnacentral:rRNA from 1 species
GAUGAACGCUGGCGGCGUGCUUAACACAUGCAAGUCGAACGAAGCGCUUUGAAAGCUUGCUUUUGGAGUGACUGAGUGGCGGACGGGUGAGUAACGCGUGGGUAACCUGCCUUAUACAGGGGGAUAACAGUUGGAAACGACUGCUAAUACCGCAUAAGCGCACAGUGCCGCAUGGCACAGUGUGAAAAACUCCGGUGGUAUAAGAUGGACCCGCGUCUGAUUAGCUAGUUGGUGAGGUAACGGCUCACCAAGGCGACGAUCAGUAGCCGGCUUGAGAGAGUGAUCGGCCACAUUGGGACUGAGACACGGCCCAAACUCCUACGGGAGGCAGCAGUGGGGAAUAUUGCACAAUGGGGGGAACCCUGAUGCAGCAACGCCGCGUGAGUGAAGAAGUAUUUCGGUAUGUAAAGCUCUAUCAGCAGGGAAGAUAAUGACGGUACCUGACUAAGAAGCCCCGGCUAACUACGUGCCAGCAGCCGCGGUAAUAC